rnacentral:rRNA from 1 species
UACGAAGGGGGCUAGCGUUGCUCGGAAUCACUGGGCGUAAAGCGCACGUAGGUGGCUUUCUAAGUCAGGGGUGAAAUCCUGGAGCUCAACUCCAGAACUGCCUUUGAUACUGGAGAGCUAGAGUCCGGAAGAGGUGAGUGGAACUGCGAGUGUAGAGGUGAAAUUCGUAGAUAUUCGCAAGAACACCAGUGGCGAAGGCGGCUCACUGGUCCGGUACUGACGCUGAGGCACGAAAGCGUGGGGAGCAAACAGG